AUUGAACGCUGGCGGCGUGCUUAACACAUGCAAGUCGGACGAGUGGCGGACGGGUGAGUAAUGCGUCGGAACGUCCCGAGUAGAGGGGGAUAACUGUCCGAAAGGAUAGCUAAUACCGCAUACUAUUCGAGCGGCCGAUGUGUGAUUAGCUGGUUGGGGGGGUAAAGGCCCACCUAGGCGACGAUCAUUAGCGGGUCUGAGAGGAUGACCAGCCACACUGGAACUGAGACACGGCCCAGACUCCUACGGGAGGCAGCAGUGGGGAAUAUUGGACAAUGGGCGCAAGCCUGAUGCAGCCAUGCCGCGUGUGUGAAGAAGGCCUUCGGGUUGUAAAGGACUUUUAGCAGGGAGGCGGUACCUGAAGAAGAAGCACCGGCUAACUACGUGCCAGCAGCCGCGGUAAUAC
rnacentral:rRNA from 1 species